AUACUCCAUAGAAUUACAAUAUCGCCUGAUAUUGUACUUAAAGCAUUAGCGGUUAAAGAUGAGCAUGCGUGCCAUUAGUUAGUUGGUGAGGUAACGGCUCACCAAGGCAUCGAUGGCUAGGGGUUCUGAGAGGAUGAUCCCCCACACUGGUACUGAGACACGGACCAGACUCCUACGGGAGGCAGCAGUGAGGAAUAUUGGUCAAUGGGCGCAAGCCUGAACCAGCCAUGCCGCGUGCAGGAAGACUGCCCUAUGGGUUGUAAACUGCUUUUCUACAGGAAGAAACUUUGCGACGAGUCGUGAAUUGCCGGUACUGUAGGAAUAAGCAUCGGCUAACUCCGUGCCAGCAGCCGCGGUAAAUACGGAGGAUGCAAGCGUUAUCCGGAUUCAUUGGGUUUAAAGGGUGCGUAGGCGGAAUAGUAAGUCAGUGGUGAAAGGCUGCAGCUUAACUGUAGAAUUGCCAUUGAUACUGUUAUUCUUGAGUGUAGUUGAGGUAGGCGGAAUGUGUAAUGUAGCGGUGAAAUGCUUAGAUAUUACACAGAACACCGAUUGCGUAGGCAGCUUACUAAACUAUAACUGACGCUGAGGCACGAAAGCGUGGGGAGCGAACAGGAUUAGAUACCCUGGUAGUCCACGCUGUAAACGAUGAUCACUCGUUGUUGGCAAUACAUCGUCAGCGACUGAGCGAAAGCAUUAAGUGAUCCACCUGGGGAGUACGUUGGCAACGAUGAAACUCAAAGGAAUUGACGGGGGCCCGCACAAGCGGUGGAACAUGUGGUUUAAUUCGAUGAUACGCGAGGAACCUUACCUGGGCUUAAAUGUAGACUGCAUGUGGUGGAAACAUCACUUUUCCUUUCGGGACCGUCUACAAGGUGCUGCAUGGUUGUCGUUCAGCUCGUGCCGUGAGGUGUCGGGUUAAGUCCCAUAACGAGCGCAACCCCUAUUGUUAGUUGCUAACAGGUAAUGCUGAGGACUCUAGCGAAACUGCCGGUGUAAACCGAGAGGAAGGUGGGGAUGACGUCAAAUCAGCACGGCCAUUAUGUCCAGGGCUACACACGUGUUACAAUGGUUGGUACAGAGGGCAGCUACCGGGCGACCGGAUGCUAAUCUCGAAAGCCAAUCUUAGUUCGGAUCGGAGUCUGCAACUCGACUUCGUGAAGCUGGAAUCGCUAGUAAUCGCGCAUCAG
rnacentral:rRNA from 1 species